GAUGAACGCUAGCUACAGGCUUAACACAUGCAAGUCGAGGGGAAACGAUAUUGGAAGCUUGCUUCCGAUAGGCGCCGACCGGCGCACGGGUGAGUAACGCGUAUCCAACCUGCCCAUCACUUGGGGAUAACCUUGCGAAAGUAAGACUAAUACCCAAUGACGUCUCUAGAAGACAUCUGAAAGAGAUUAAAGAUUUAUCGGUGAUGGAUGGGGAUGCGUCUGAUUAGCUUGUUGGCGGGGUAACGGCCCACCAAGGCGACGAUCAGUAGGGGUUCUGAGAGGAAGGUCCCCCACAUUGGAACUGAGACACGGUCCAAAACUCCUACGGGAGGCAGCAGUGAGGAAUAUUGGUCAAAUGGGACGAGAGUCUGAACCAGCCAAGUAGCGUGCAGGAUGACGGCCCUAUGGGUUGUAAACUGCUUUUAUAAGGGAAUAAAGUGGGAGUCGUGACUCUUUUUGCAUGUACCUUAUGAAUAAGGACCGGCUAAUUCCGUGCCAGCAGCCGCGG
rnacentral:rRNA from 1 species